AAUACAAGCAUUGUCAUAACGACUGAGUACAAACUAUUUAAUGAAAAAAGGAAAGAAAAGACAAAAUGCACACAAUGUAAAAAUAAAGUAAUUGCUGUAUAAAAUUUUACCUAAUUGCUGUGACUGAAGGGCAUCACCACCCAACUUUUAGGCACCAAUGGCCUUUGUGCAAAGGUGUGCAGUUGAUUUGUAUUGAGACUGAUUCCCUUACCCGAUUGAUUGAUGACAAAAUUAUCCCAAUUAGGGCCUGUACAUUUUUACACCCUAUCUUGGGUUAUCAAGGGGGAUUUGGAUUCCUGGAAUUCCAGACCGAUCUUAUGGAUUGGUUGGAUACACUUUGUUAAAAUGAACAUACUACCUUAUAUUCUUUUCCUCUUCCAGGCCCUCCAAAUUUUUAUUCUGAGAAGGGACUUGGAUAAAUUGCAGUGUGCUAUUGAUGCCUUUAUUUGUAGUAAUUGGAGGCACAGAAAUGCUAGAAGGGUGGUGUAUUGACAAAUGGUCAUAUAAGGUCUCUUACCUCUAAUUCAAUCUCCUAUGACUUCUUUCCCCCACAACACAUAUUUACCCCCAGGUAUAGUUUCUAGAGAUUUAGGUAGACUAGAGAAUACUGGCUAUCAGAGGUUUUACCAUUUAUACCAGGGUGAUUCUUUAGUUCCCUCAUUGGCGCUUAAUUAGUUGACCCAUUUCUCCUCCAAAGUUCAUUUUAGACAUUAAUUUUUAUUUUAGCUUAUUUUCAGGAUCUUUGCAGGUCAGGAAAAGGUAGCUGUUGCAGCUGAGACUGAAAUUACCUUUUAUGAGUCCUUAUGUCAUGUGAUAGGGGCACUGUUUAGAAAGAUCUUGUUACUUUGCUAUACAGCACACACUGCUCCAACUCUGUAAAAUGGGGUGACCUAUUGUAGUCAUUGGGAGCAACACCUAAAUGAGCCUCAGGUAGUUUGUUUAGGAAGGUUUUUGAGAAGCUGCCAGUGGAAUUUCCAUCUAUGUUUUUUUACAGGAGCAAUUGUUCAAGAUAUUAAUGAGGUGGUACACUGUAACACUAUUAGCAUCCUGAAGCUCCAAGGGAAUAUUUUCACAUAUGCAGUCAUCUAAUUUUGGUGCAGUGUUUAGCAUUUAUUGUCUAAUGUGUUUUCACAGAUGAUUUAUAUGCAGAAUAAAUAACGGUUCAGGCACUCCGGGAUCAAAGAAAAGGCAGUUUUAUUGUGGCAAAAGCAGCAACGUUUCUACCAUAUCGGGUCUUCAUCAAGCGGUCAAAACGUUGCUGCUUUUGCUCCAAUAAAGCUGUUAUUUCUGUUAUCCCGGAGUUUCUGAACCGUUAUUUAUUUUGCAUAUCUUGGAAGGGCAGGCCUUGCUAGCCCUGGCUUCAAAGCACAUGGGUUAGUUUGUGAGUACGGUAUCCAGUAUGUGUCUUCACAGAUCCGUUGACCUGAACACAUGGUCCUUCUUGUUUUCCAGGCCCAUUGUUAGUUUUCCUUCGCCCCCUCCAAAACUACUUUAACAAAAUAAUGUUAGUGGCAAGGGCUUUCUUGUCAUGUUGGUUACAAUCCAGGGUCACCUUCAUCCCUAGGAUAAAGUUAAGAUAAUGGAAAACCUGUCUCUUGCAUUGGCUGACAUAUCAAAAGUCCUGGUCACCUUUUACUCCAUUAGGUGUUGUGUUGUACAUUAUAGGUGUGUGGGUUUUUUUUUCUGUUCUCUUUAUCUUCUCAUUUUCACUAAAUUCAGAAUGUCUGCAAGUGCCUAUGGUCCUUUCCUGUAUCUAUGCAAUGUAUU
rnacentral:lncRNA from 1 species